rnacentral:rRNA from 1 species
CCUACGGGUGGCAGCAGUGAGGAAUAUUGGUCAAUGGCCGUAAGUCUGAACCAGCCAAGUCGCGUGCAGGAAGACGGCUCUAUGGUUUGUAAACUUCUUUUAUAGGGGGGUAAAUGUCUAUACGUGUGUCUGUUUGCAAGUAUCGUAUGAAUAAGCAUCGGCUAACUCCGUGCCAGCAGCCGCGGUAAUACGGAGGAUGCGAGCGUUAUCCGGAUUUAUUGGGUUUAAAGGGUGCGUAGGUUGUUUGUUAAGUAAGAGGUGAAAUCUUGUGGCUCAACCCUAACAUUGCCGUUGAUACUGGAAGGCUAGAGUGUGUUUGAGGUAGGCGGAAUGUGUGGUGUAGCGGUGAAAUGCAUAGAGAUCACACAGAACACCGAUUGCGAAGGCAGCUUACCAAGCCACGACUGACACUGAAGCACGAAAGCGUGGGGAGCAAACAGGAUUAGAUACCCUAGUAGUC